UGGGGAAUAUUGCACAAUGGGCGCAAGCCUGAUGCAGCCAUGCCGCGUGUAUGAAGAAGGCCUUCGGGUUGUAAAGUACUUUCAGCGGGGAGGAAGGUGUUGAGGUUAAUAACCUCAGCAAUUGACGUUACCCGCAGAAGAAGCACCGGCUAACUCCGUGCCAGCAGCCGCGGUAAUACGGAGGGUGCAAGCGUUAAUCGGAAUUACUGGGCGUAAAGCGCACGCAGGCGGUCUGUCAAGUCGGAUGUGAAAUCCCCGGGCUCAACCUGGGAACUGCAUUCGAAACUGGCAGGCUAGAGUCUUGUAGAGGGGGGUAGAAUUCCAGGUGUAGCGGUGAAAUGCGUAGAGAUCUGGAGGAAUACCGGUGGCGAAGGCGGCCCCCUGGACAAAGACUGACGCUAAGGUGCGAAAGCGUGGGGAGCAAACA
rnacentral:rRNA from 1 species